rnacentral:rRNA from 1 species
GCGCGAAAACUUUACAAUGCUGGCAACAGCGAUAAGGGAACCUCGAGUGCCAGGUUACAAAUCUGGCUGUCGAGAUGCCUAAAAAGCAUUUCAUAGCAAGGGCCGGGCAAGACCGGUGCCAGCCGCCGCGGUAACACCGGCGGCUCGAGUGGUAACCGUUAUUAUUGGGUCUAAAGGGUCUGUAGCCGGCCGGAUAAGUCUCUUGAGAAAUCUGGCAGCUUAACUGUCAGGCUUUCAGGAGAUACUGUCUGGCUCGAGGCCGGGAGAGGUGAGAGGUACUUCAGGGGUAGGGGUGAAAUCUUGUAAUCCUUGAAGGACCACCAGUGGCGAAGGCGGGUCUCUGGGCAACUACUGACGCUGAGGAGCGAAAGCGUGGGGAGCAAACA